rnacentral:snRNA from 1 species
GGAUGUGAGAGCAAUCUGGCUGAGACCUCUGUCACGCCGUUGAUGGCCAGGGUUGAUUGGACUGAUGUGGCUGGCUAGACAGGUGUCCCCUUCCUCCCUCCCUGCUCCAUGUGUGUCCUUCCCAAAGCCAGGCGGUCACUCCAAGAGGAUGACCUUCCCUGUUGGAGGGGUACCAUUCAUGGGGCAAGGGUAUACGGUAGUUGCGCUCCCCUUCUAGAAGCUGCAAAGAAGUUCAAGGUGCAUUUGUAGGAGCUGGGGUAGUCAAGCUUUCAAGACUGCAAGCACAUCCAAGUGAGGCACUGCAUGGGGUAGGGUGUUUGUUGGU